GUGUUUGCAAUUGAAAAAGGACGUAGCUAGUGAGGUUCUAACCGAGGCGCGUCUAUUGCUGGUUGAAAACUAUUUCCAAACCUCCUCAUCGGCCUUGGUGUUUGCCAAGGCCGCUGAGAAUUUUUGGAAGGGCUUCCCUUUGGGGUAAAGCC
rfam:Solanum lycopersicum cultivar Heinz 1706 chromosome 1, whole genome shotgun sequence.